rnacentral:rRNA from 1 species
CCUACGUGUGGCAGCAGUGGGGAAUAUUGGACAAUGGGGGGAACCCUGAUCCCGCGACGCCGCGUAAGUGAAGAAGUAUUUCGGUAUGUAAAGCUCUAUCAUCAGGGAAGAAAUAAAUGACGGUCCCUGACUAAGAAGCCCCGGCUAACUACGUUCCAGCAGCCGCGGUAAUACGUAGGUGGCAAGCGUUAUCCGGAUUUACUGGGGGUAAAGGGAGCGUAGACGGCGAUGCAAGUCUGAAGUGAAAGGCGGUGGCCCAACCCCCGGACUGCUUUGGAAACUGUAUGGCUGGAAUGCAGGGAAGGUAAGUGGAAUUCCUAGUGUAGGGGUGAAAUGCGUAGAUAGUAGGAGGAGCACCAGUGG